rnacentral:rRNA from 1 species
UACGGGGGGGAGCAAGCGUUGUUCGGAUUUACUGGGCGUAAAGGGCGCGUAGGCGGCGUGACAAGUCACUUGUGAAAUCUCCGGGCUUAACUCGGAACGGUCAAGUGAUACUGUCGUGCUAGAGUACAGAAGGGGCAACUGGAAUUCUCGGUGUAGCGGUGAAAUGCGUAGAUAUCUGAAGGAACAUCAGUGGCGAAAGCGACUUCCUGGACCAAUACUGACGCUCAUGUGCGAAAGCGUGGGGAGCAAACAGGG